GACGAACGCUGGCGGCGUGCUUAACACAUGCAAGUCGAGCGGUAAGGCCCUUUCGGGGGUACACGAGCGGCGAACGGGUGAGUAACACGUGGGUGACCUGCCUUCAGCUCUGGGAUAAGCCUGGGAAACUGGGUCUAAUACUGGAUAUUACUCUGCGGUGCAUGCCGUGGGGUGGAAAGCCUUGUGCGGCUGGGGAUGGGCCCGCGGCCUAUCAGCUUGUUGGUGGGGUGAUGGCCUACCAAGGCGACGACGGGUAGCCGGCCUGAGAGGGCGACCGGCCACACUGGGACUGAGACACGGCCCAGACUCCUACGGGAGGCAGCAGUGGGGAAUAUUGCGCAAUGGGCGGAAGCCUGACGCAGCGACGCCGCGUGGGGAUGACGGCCUCGGUGUAA
rnacentral:rRNA from 1 species